GACGAACCGUGCGAACGUUGUUCGGAAUCACUGGGCUUAAAGGGCGCGUAGGCGGACUGCCAAGUCCGGGGUGAAAUCCUCCGGCUUAACCGGAGAAUUGCCUGGGAUACUGGCGGUCUUGAGGGAGGUAGGGGCACGCGGAACUUCCGGUGGAGCGGUGAAAUGCGUUGAUAUCGGAAGGAACGCCGGUGGCGAAAGCGGCGUGCUGGCCCUCUUCUGACGCUGAGGCGCGAAAGCCAGGGGAGCCGGAACGGG
rnacentral:rRNA from 1 species